GCUCCCAUGGCGUAGUGGUCACUGCGCUCGCCUUGCACGCGGGAGACCCGGGUUCAAUCCCCGGCGGGGUCA
rfam:Asian citrus Psyllid, Diaphorina citri - Florida Strain, whole genome shotgun sequence.